rnacentral:misc_RNA from 1 species
AGAAAUGAUCAGCAUGGCUGUACACCGAAACCUACUUCGUUUACGGGGCUUUUGCAUGACACCCACUGAGCGCGUGCUUGUUUAUCCUUACAUGGAGAAUGGAAGUGUUGCAUCACGUUUAAGAGAGAGGCCUGAAUCAGAGCCCCCACUUGACUGGCCAAAAAGGAAGCGUAUUGCACUUGGAUCUGCAAGAGGCCUUGCUUACUUGCAUGAUCAUUGUGAUCCUAAAAUUAUUCAUCGUGACGUCAAAGCCGCAAAUAUCUUGUUGGAUGA